rnacentral:rRNA from 1 species
UACGUAGGUGGCAAGCGUUGUCCGGAUUUACUGGGCGUAAAGAGCGCGCAGGCGGUCGUUCAAGUCGCGUGUGAAAGCCCCCGGCUCAACUGGGGAGGGUCACGCGAUACUGAUCAACUCGAAGGCAGGAGAGGGAAGUGGAAUUCCCGGUGUAGUGGUGAAAUGCGUAGAUAUCGGGAGGAACACCAGUGGCGAAGGCGACUUCCUGGCCUGUUCUUGACGCUGAGGCGCGAAAGCUAGGGGAGCAAACGGG